GAUAAACGCUGGCGGCGCACAUAAGACAUGCAAGUCGAACGGACUUAACCCUUUGUUUACAUUGGGAGCGGUUAGUGGCGGACUGGUGAGUAACACGUAAGCAACCUGCCUAUCAGAGGGGAAUAACAGUGAGAAAUCAUUGCUAAUACCGCAUAUGCUAACAGUAUCGCAUGAUACAGUUAGGAAAGGAGCAAUCCACUGGUAGAUGGGCUUGCGUCUGAUUAGCUAGUUGGUGGGGUAAUGGCCUACCAAGGCGACGAUCAGUAGCCGGACUGAGAGGUUGAACGGCCACAUUGGGACUGAGAUACGGCCCAG
rnacentral:rRNA from 1 species